GCCUAAUACAUGCAAGUCGAGCGGACAGAAGGGAGCUUGCUCCCGGAUGUUAGCGGCGGACGGGUGAGUAACACGUGGGUAACCUGCCUGUAAGACUGGGAUAACUCCGGGAAACCGGAGCUAAUACCGGAUAGUUCCUUGAACCGCAUGGUUCAAGGAUGAAAGACGGUUUCGGCUGUCACUUACAGAUGGACCCGCGGCGCAUUAGCUAGUUGGUGAGGUAACGGCUCACCAAGGCGACGAUGCGUAGCCGACCUGAGAGGGUGAUCGGCCACACUGGGACUGAGACACGGCCCAGACUCCUACGGGAGGCAGCAGUAGGGAAUCUUCCGCAAUGGACGAAAGUCUGACGGAGCAACGCCGCGUGAGUGAUGAAGGUUUUCGGAUCGUAAAGCUCUGUUGUUAGGGAAGAACAAGUGCAAGAGUAACUGCUUGCACCUUGACGGUACCUAACCAGAAAGCCACGGCUAACUACGUGCCAGCAGCCGCGGUAAUACGUAGGUGGCAAGCGUUGUCCGGAAUUAUUGGGCGUAAAGGGCUCGCAGGCGGUUUCUUAAGUCUGAUGUGAAAGCCCCCGGCUCAACCGGGGAGGGUCAUUGGAAACUGGGAAACUUGAGUGCAGAAGAGGAGAGUGGAAUUCCACGUGUAGCGGUGAAAUGCGUAGAGAUGUGGAGGAACACCAGUGGCGAAGGCGACUCUCUGGUCUGUAACUGACGCUGAGGAGCGAAAGCGUGNGGAGCGAACAGGAUUAGAUACCCUGGUAGUCCACGCCGUA
rnacentral:rRNA from 1 species